AUUGAACGCUGGCGGCAGGCCUAACACAUGCAAGUCGAACGAGUGGCGGACGGGUGAGUAAUGUCUGGGAAACUGCCUGAUGGAGGGGGAUAACUACUGGCAAAGGUCGCUAAUACCGCAUACCAUCAGAUGUGCCCAGAUGGGAGUAGCUAGUGGGUGGGGUAACGGCUCACCAAGGAGACGAUCCCUAGCUGGUCUGCGAGGAUGACCAGCGUCAUUGGAACUGAUACACGCUCCAGACUCCUACGGGAGGCAGCAGUGGGGAAUAUUGCACAAUGGGCGCAAGCCUGAUGCAGCCAUGCCGCGUGUAUGAAGAAGGCCUUCGUGUUGUAAAGUACUUUCAGCGGGGAGGCGUUACCCGCAGAAGAAGCACCGGCUAACUCCGUGCCAGCAGCCGCGGUAAUUC
rnacentral:rRNA from 1 species